rnacentral:rRNA from 1 species
AACGAACGCUGGCGGCAGGCCUAAAACAUGCAAGUCGAACGAACCUUCGGGUUAGUGGCGCACGGGUGCGUAACGCGUGGGAAUAUACCUCUGGGUGCGGAACAACGUCUGGAAACGGACGCUAAUACCGCAUAAUAUCUACGGAUCAAAGAUUUAUCGCCCAGAGAUUAGCCCGCGUCUGAUUAGCUAGUUGGUGAGGUAAUGGCUCACCAAGGCGACGAUCAGUAGCUGGUCUGAGAGGAUGAUCAGCCACACUGGAACUGAAACACGGUCCAGACUCCUACGGGAGGCAGCAGUUGGGAAUAUUGGACAAUGGGGGAAACCCUGAUCCAGCCAUGCCGCGUGAGUGAAGAAGGCCUUAGGGUUGUAAAGCUCUUUCGGCUGUGAAGAUAAUGACAGUAGCAGAAGAAGAAGCUCCGGCUAAAUUCGUGCCAGCAGCCGCAGUAA